rnacentral:rRNA from 1 species
GACGAACGCUGCGGCGUGCUUAACACAUGCAAGUCGAACGAAGAGCGAUGAAGCUUGCUUCUAUCAAUCUUAGUGGCGAACGGGUGAGUAACGCGUAAUCAACCUGCCCUUCAGAGGGGGACAACAGUUGGAAACGACUGCUAAUACCGCAUACGAUCUAAACUCGGCAUCGAGGAUAGAUGAAAGGUGGCCUCUACAUGUAAGCUAUCACUGAAGGAGGGGAUUGCGUCUGAUUAGCUAGUUGGAGGGGUAACGGCCCACCAAGGCGAUGAUCAGUAGCCGGUCUGAGAGGAUGAACGGCCACAUUGGGACUGAGACACGGCCCAGACUCCUACGGGAGGCAGCAGUGGGGAAUCUUCCGCAAUGGACGAAAGUCUGACGGAGCAACGCCGCGUGAGUGAUGACGGCCUUCGGGUUGUAAAGCUCUGUUAAUCGGGACGAAAGGCCUUCUUGCGAAUAGUGAGAAGGAUUGACGGUACCGGAAUAGAAAGCCACGGCUA